rnacentral:tRNA from 1 species
GGGCCUGUAGCUCAGCCGGUUAGAGCAGUCGACUCAUAAUCGAUUGGUCGCUGGUUCAAGUCCAGCCACAGGCCCACCA